UGCAUGAUAGUUCAGUUGGUAAAGAAUCUGCCUGCAAUGCAGGAGACCCCGGUUCGAUUCUGGGUCAGGAAA
rnacentral:tRNA from 1 species